GGUUAAGUUAUUAAGGGCAUACGGUGGAUGCCUUGGCACAAAGAGGCGAUGAAGGACGCGGCUACCAGCGAUAUGCUGCGGUGAGGUGGAAGCAACCUAGUACCCGCAGAUUUCCGAAUGGGGCAACCCGCAUCGAGUAAUGUCGAUGUAUCCUCAACUGAAUUCAUAGGUUGAGAGAGGCCAACCCGGGGAACUGAAACAUCUAAGUACCCGGAGGAAGAGAAAACAACCGUGAUUUCCUGAGUAGUGGCGAGCGAAAGGGAAUUAGCCUAAACCGUUUAACAUGUUAAAGGACGCAACCUUUGUGUUAACGGGGUAGUGGGAUGUAUUCUGACCUAUUUGCGGUAGGGUCGGGAAGUAAAAAAUUAAAUUGUUAGCUGAAUUUUCUGGAAAGUUAAACCAUAGAAGGUGAUAGUCCCGUAAGCGAAAACAAUUUAACUUCCUCGAAUACACACCCAAGUACCACGAAAUAAGUGGAAGUUUGUGGGAAUCUGCCAGAACCAUCUGGUAAGGCUAAAUACUACUUUGUGACCGAUAGUGAAUAAGUACCGUGAGGGAAAGGUGAAAAGCACUCCUAACAGGAGAGUGAAAUAGUACCUGAAACCGUAUGCUUACAAGCAGUUGGAGUCCGUCAUCUGACGGAUGACAGCGUGCCUUUUGGAUAAUGAGCCAACGAGUUACUCCUAUGCUGCAAGGUUAAUUCCUUAAGGGAAGAAGCCGUAGCGAAAGCGAGUCUGAAAUGGGCGUUUUAGUAGCAUGGGGUAGACGCGAAACCGAGUGAUCUAUCCUUGGCCAGGAUGAAGUCCCGGUAACACGGGAUGGAGGUCCGAACCAGUGUGGGUUGAAAACCGCUUGGAUGAGCUGAGGAUAGGGGUGAAAGGCCAACCAAACUCGGAAAUAGCUCGUACUCCUCGAAAUAGCUUUAGGGCUAGCCUCGAGCAUAGUGUACUGGAGGUAGAGCACUGAUUGGGCUAGGGCCCUCACAAGGGUACCAAACCUAGACAAACUCCGAAUUCCAGAUACAUGUUUCUCGGGAGUCAGGCAGUGGGGGAUAAGCUUCAUUGCCAAGAGGGGAACAACCCAGACCACCAGCUAAGGUCCCCAAAUAGUAGUUAACAGAGAAAGGAUGUUGAGUUGCUUAGACAACUAGGAUGUUGGCUUAGAAGCAGCCAUUCAUUUAAAGAGUGCGUAAUAGCUCACUAGUCAAGCGACUCGGCGUCGACAAUUGGCGGGACUUAAACUACUUACCGAAGCUGUGGAUCCAUUAUGAGAUGGUAGAGGAGCAUUCUAUCUGCAUUGAAGGUGUACCGCGAGGUAUGCUGGAGCGUAUAGAAAAGCAAAUGUUGGCAUAAGUAACGAUAAAACCGAUGAAAAAUCGGUUCGCCGAAAGUCUAAGGUUUCCUGAGCAAUGUUAAUCAACUCAGGGUUAGUCGGACCCUAAGCCGAGGCUGAAAGGCGUAGGCGAUGGAAAACGGGUUAAUAUUCCCGUACCUGGUAAAAUUUGUUCGACCAUAAGGAGGGACGCAGGAGUGAAGGUCAGCCACCUGACGGAUUAGGUGGUCUAAGCAAGUAGGUUUAGAGAGUAGGCAAAUCCGCUCUCUUUUAAGACCGAGAUGCGAACGGGAGUCCUUUGGACACAAACUGAUCGUAAUCAUACUGCCAAGAAAAGCUUCGUAUGGGAGAAUUUUAUCAGACCGUACCGCAAACCGACACAGGUAGACGGGAUGAGUAUUCUAAGGCGCUCGAGUGAGCCGUGGCUAAGGAACUCGGCAAAUUAACCCCGUAACUUCGGGAGAAGGGGUGCCCUUAUUAGGUGAAGAUUUUACUUUCUGAGCCGAACAGGGCCGCAGUGAAAAGGCCCAGGCGACUGUUUAACAAAAACACAUGUCUCUGCGAAGUCAAUCAAGACGAAGUAUAGGGACUGACACCUGCCCGGUGCUGGAAGGUUAAGGGGAGAGGUUAGUAUCGACUUGUCGGUACGAAGCUUUGAACCGAAGCCCCAGUAAACGGCGGCCGUAACUAUAACGGUCCUAAGGUAGCGAAAUUCCUUGUCGGGUAAGUUCCGACCUGCACGAAUGGUGUAACGAUCUGGGCACUGUCUCAGCCACGGGCUCGGUGAAAUUGUGGUACCGGUGAAGACGCCGGUUACCCGCAUAUGGACGGAAAGACCCCGUGAACCUUUACUGCACCCUAGCAUUGGGUUCGGGUAAAUCAUGUGUAGCAUAGGUGGGAGACUUUGAAGCCGGGGCGCUAGCUUCGGUGGAGUCAACGGUGAAAUACCACCCUUGGUUUAUUUGGAUUCUAACCGCGGUCCUUGAAUCAGGAUCCGGAACAGUGUUAGGCGGGUAGUUUGACUGGGGCGGUCGCCUCCCAAAUUGUAACGGAGGCUCUCAAUGGUUCCCUCAGCAUGGUUGGUAAUCAUGCGCAGAGUGUAAAGGCAUAAGGGAGCUUGACUGCGAGACAUACAGGUCAAGCAGGUGCGAAAGCAGGACUUAGUGAUCCGGCGGUAGCGAGUGGAAGUGCCGUCGCUCAAAGGAUAAAAGGUACUCCGGGGAUAACAGGCUGAUCUUGCCCAAGAGUUCAUAUCGACGGCAAGGUUUGGCACCUCGAUGUCGGCUCAUCGCAUCCUGGGGCUGGAGAAGGUCCCAAGGGUUUGGCUGUUCGCCAAUUAAAGCGGUACGUGAGCUGGGUUCAGAACGUCGUGAGACAGUUCGGUCCCUAUCCUAUGCGGGCGAAGGAUACUUGAGGAGAGUCGUUCCUAGUACGAGAGGACCGGAAUGAACGAACCUAUAGUGUACCAAUUGUCGCGCCAGCGGCAUCGUUGGGUAGCUAUGUUCGGUCGUGAUAAGCGCUGAAAGCAUCUAAGCACGAAGCACACUUCAAGAUUAGGUAUCCCACCGUCAUUAGACGGUCUAAAGACUCCUUGGAGAUGACAAGGUUGAUAGGCUACAGGUGUAAGUACAGUAAUGUAUUUAGCCGAGUAGUACUAAUAAGUCGUGAGACUUAACCAU
rnacentral:rRNA from 1 species